AGAGUUUGAUCCUGGCUCAGAACGAACGCUGGCGGCGUGCUUAACACAUGCAAGUCGAACGGGAUCCAGAGCUUGCUCUGGUGAGAGUGGCGCACGGGUGAGUAACGCGUGGAUAACCUGCCCUGGUAUCCGGAAUAACAUCUCGAAAGGGGUGCUAAUACCGGAUAAGCCUACGGAGCCCUCGGUCUCUGCAGGAAAAGGUGGCCUCUAUUUAUAAGCUACCGUAUCAGGAUGGGUCCGCGUACCAUUAGCUAGUUGGUGGGGUAAUGGCCUACCAAGGCGACGAUGGUUAGCUGGUCUGAGAGGAUGAUCAGCCACACUGGAACUGAGACACGGUCCAGACUCCUACGGGAGGCAGCAGUGGUGAAUUUUGCGCAAUGGGGGAAACCCUGACGCAGCAACGCCGCGUGAGUGAAGAAGGCUUUCGGGUCGUAAAGCUCUGCCAGAGGGGAAGAAAUGAGAUUGGCUAAUAUCCAAUUUUCUUGACGGUACCCUCAAAGGAAGCACCGGCUAACUCCGUGCCAGCAGCCGCGGUAA
rnacentral:rRNA from 1 species